rnacentral:rRNA from 1 species
AUGUGUUGCGAGUAUUUUUCUCCGGAGGGCACCCUCUCAUAUAUAUAUACCCCCCAUUUCCCACUCAUCCCUGAGACAAAAACAAGCGCGCACACACACACACACAGAGGAGAAAAACAGAGCAACAAAGUCAUCAGGUGCAACUCCUCUGCUGCGCAACAGACACCAACACACACCAUGAGGCCCGGACCCGAGUUCGUCACCAUGAGCCGCCGCGCGGGAGCGCCGACGGCGGCGCCGGGCCAUGGGCUGAUCAACGGGACGGCGGCGCCGCACUCGACGUGGCAGUCGCCGGUGCCGUACCUCUUCGGCGGGCUGGCGGCGAUGCUGGGGCUUAUCGCCUUCGCGCUGCUCAUCCUCGUCUGCUCCUACUGGAAGCUCUCCGGGUACCUCGACGGCGACCGGGAUGGCCAGGCAGCGGGGGACGCCGACGGGGAGAAGGGCUCGGUGUUGGGCGCUGCCAGGCCGGCCAUGGAUUUCCUGGAGCACGUGGUGGUCAUCAUGGCCGGCGACGAGCAACCGACGUUCCUUGCCAAGCCGGUCACCAGCCGGGCUGCCGAGAUGGAGCUUACGGCCGCAGCGGCUCCUGAGGCGAGCGCGCGCGCUGGCGACGACGACGGGCAGGUGAGGAAGGUGGACGAGCAGGGCUGCGAGGUGUGUUCGCAUCUCGGCGCCGACUCGGCGACCCCGAGCCGUGAUCACCACGACGCGGCGAGCCGGAGCCACAACCACCACCAUGACCAUGACCAUGAGAGCAGCAGCACGACGGCACUGCAAGAAAGCUCGCAAUAA